GUGCUCAGUUUGGUAGCACAUGUACUAAAAUUGGAAUGAUACAGAGAUUAGCAUAUUCUCUGUGCAAGGAUGAUACACAGAUUUAUGAAGGGUUCUGUAUACUC
ensembl:snRNA U6 U6 spliceosomal RNA